AAACCAACCGGGAUUGCCUUAGUAACGGCGAGUGAAGCGGCAAAAGCUCAAAUUUGAAAUCUGGUACCUUCGGUGCCCGAGUUGUAAUUUGGAGAGGGCAACUUUGGGGCCGUUCCUUGUCUAUGUUCCUUGGAACAGGACGUCAUAGAGGGUGAGAAUCCCGUGUGGCGAGGAGUGCGGUUCUUUGUAAAGUGCCUUCGAAGAGUCGAGUUGUUUGGGAAUGCAGCUCUAAGUGGGUGGUAAAUUCCAUCUAAAGCUAAAUAUUGGCGAGAGACCGAUAGCGAACAAGUACAGUGAUGGAAAGAUGAAAAGAACUUUGAAAAGAGAGUGAAAAAGUACGUGAAAUUGUUGAAAGGGAAGGGCAUUUGAUCAGACAUGGUGUUUUGUGCCCUCUGCUCCUUGUGGGUAGGGGAAUCUCGCAUUUCACUGGGCCAGCAUCAGUUUUGGUGGCAGGAUAAAUCCAUAGGAAUGUAGCUUGCCUCGGUAAGUAUUAUAGCCUGUGGGAAUACUGCCAGCUGGGACUGAGGACUGCGACGUAAGUCAAGGAUGCUGGCAUAAUGGUUAUAUGCCGCCC
rnacentral:rRNA from 1 species